AUAAGAGGUCCAGCCUGCCAGUGACAAAUGUUCAACGGCCGCGGUAUCCUAACCGUGCGAAGGUAGCGUAAUCACUUGUUCUUUAAAUGUGGACUAGUAUGAACGGCACCACGAGGGUUAUACUGUCUCCUUUCUCCAAUCAGUGAAACUAAUCUCCCCGUGAAGAAGCGGGGAUAAAAAUAUAAGACGAGAAGACCCUAUGGAGCUUAAAAGUUUACUUCAAACGCUAACCCCUACUAAGUCAUAGACUACCACAAGAAGCCACGCGCCAUGAAAACAACUUUUAGGUUGGGGUGACCAUGGAGCACAAAACAACCUCCACGCUGAACAGGCCUCCAAGCCUCGAGCCAAGGGCCACAACCCGCCGCACUAAAAAAUUAACAUCCAUUGAUCCAAUGAAUUUUGAUCAACGAACCAAGUUACCCUAGGGAUAACAGCGCAAUCUACUUCAAGAGUUCCUAUCGACAAGUGGGUUUACGACCUCGAUGUUGGAUCAGGGUGUCCCAGUGGUGCAGCCGCUACUAAUGGUUCGUUUGUUCAACGAUUAAACCCUACGUGA
rnacentral:rRNA from 1 species